rnacentral:rRNA from 1 species
AGAAUGAACGCUGGCGGCGUGCUUAACACAUGCAAGUCGCACGAGAACUCUUUAAGCUUGCUUAAAGAUAGUAAAGUGGCGCACGGGUGAGUAACGCGUGGGUAAUCUACCUCUGAAUUGGGGAUAACAUUGUGAAAGCGAUGCUAAUACCGAAUAAUAUCCCGAGAUCUUAGGAUUUUGGGAUCAAAGGUGGCCUCUACAUGUAAGCUACUGUUUGGAGAUGAGCCCACGUACCAUUAGCUUGUUGGUAGGGUAAUGGCCUACCAAGGCAACGAUGGUUAGCUGGUCUGAGAGGAUGAUCAGCCACACUGGAACUGACACACGGUCCAGACUCCUACGGGAGGCAGCAGUGAGGAAUUUUGCGCAAUGGGGGAAACCCUGACGCAGCAACGCCGCGUGAGUGAUGAAGGCUUUCGAGUCGUAAAGCUCUGUCAAGUGAGAAGAACCUAUCCCGCGCCAAUACCGCGGGAUACUGACGGUAUCACUGAAGGAAGCACCGGCUAACUCCGUGCCAGCAGCCGCGGUAAUACGGGGGGUGCAAGCGUUAUUCGGAAUUAUUGGGCGUAAAGGGCGCGUAGGCGGUCUUUUAAGUCAGAUGUGAAAGCCCGGGGCUCAACCCCGGAAGAGCAUUUGAAACUAAUGGACUUGAGUAUGGGAGAGGGAAGUGGAAUUCCUGGUGUAGAGGUGAAAUUCGUAGAUAUCAGGAGGAACACCGGUGGCGAAGGCGACUUCCUGGACCAAUACUGACGCUGAGGCGCGAAGGCGUGGGGAGCAAACAGGAUUAGAUACCCUGGUAGUCCACGCAGUAAACGGUGAACACUAGGUGUAGCGGGUAUUGACCCCUGCUGUGCCGCAGUUAACGCAUUAAGUGUUCCGCCUGGGGAGUACGACCGCAAGGUUAAAACUCAAAGGAAUUGACGGGGGCCCGCACAAGCGGUGGA